rnacentral:rRNA from 1 species
UACAGAGGUCCCAAGCGUUGUUCGGAUUCAUUGGGCGUAAAGGGUGCGUAGGCGGCGCGGUAAGUCGGGUGUGAAAUCUCGGGGCUUAACUCCGAAACUGCAUUCGAUACUGCCGUGCUUGAGGACUGGAGAGGAGACUGGAAUUUACGGUGUAGCGGUGAAAUGCGUAGAUAUCGUAAGGAAGACCAGUGGCGAAGGCGGGUCUCUGGACAGUUCCUACGCUGAGGCACGAAGGCCCAGGGGGAGCAAACGGG